UCGUCCUGCUACGCCUCUACCCCUGGAUAUUGCUCAGCUCUCCAAAUUGACUCAGCUCCAGGUAUUUUGCCUGGAAAUAAUCACCAUGCUGUUUGAACCAAUGUCUAUUCUCAAUAUUAUAACACAAAUUCUUGUCAUCAACUUACCUUAUUUUGAGACCUUACAGUAAGGAGCUCUCAAGAGUUUGGGGUUUUUGAGGUUUGCCAUGGUACAUCAAUAGAAUAUCAAAUGACAGGAUAAGACCUAGAAGACAAAUGUAAAAUUCCAAAAUGCAUGCUGUGGAUGAAUGCAGCAAUAUGAGAUGAGUACUAUUUGGGAUGGAAAUAGAAAACUACCCUGAUAUCUGACACAUUGAGUUUCCAGGAUGAAUCAGAAAGUAUUGGUUGUUGGGUUUUCUUAGCUUGCACUCUUCCAGACACCAGCAAAGACCCUCUGCUUAUGGACCUUAAAUUCUGGUGGAAGAAAGCAGACAAUCAACA